GUAGGUGGCAAGCGUUGUCCGGAUUUAUUGGGCGUAAAGCGAGCGCAGGCGGUUCCUUAAGUCUGAUGUGAAAGCCCACGGCUCAACCGUGGAAGGUCAUUGGAAACUGGGGAACUUGAGUGCAGAAGAGGAGAGUGGAAUUCCAUGUGUAGCGGUGAAGUGCGUAGAUAUAUGGAGGAACACCAGUGGCGAAGGUCGACUCUCUGGUCUGUAACUGACGCUGAGGCUCGAAAGCGUGGGGGAGCAAACAGGAUUAGAUACCCUGGUAGUCCACGCCGUAAACGAUGAGUGCGUAAGUGUUGGACGGGUUUCCACCUUCAGUGCUGCAGCUAACGCAUUAAGCACUCCGGCCUGGGAGUACGGCCGCAAGGCUGA
rnacentral:rRNA from 1 species